CAAGAAUCGAGGCUAACGGUGCCUACUCUGUAGGCUCCGUCUAGUCCCGCUCUCUACCUUGCCUACUGCACCGUUUAUUGCUUCCUAGCGGCGGCGUCCCAUCGCCAGGGCCUUUUAAAAGCCAAGUAUAAGCAUUGAAACUUCUGACAUACACUAAAUCGUA
rnacentral:misc_RNA from 1 species